rnacentral:lncRNA from 1 species
AUUUUUUUUUUCAGAAACGGCGUUAGGUGUGAAUUUGAAUUUACAGAAAAAUCGGAAAGAAUAUCCAGUGUUAUUAGAAAGGGGUUUGGACAUAACCAGUGAUAGAAUGUUCAGUUUUUGGAAACCUUACAAAUUCUUAUGGUAUUUUUCAACUGAUAAGAAAAUUUUUGAUGAUAUUUAUAUGAACCUUCAUGUACUUUUUCAAUCUCUUAUGCGGAAAAAAAUGAGUGAAUACGAGAAGGAACUUGAAGUAGAACGCUUGGAUGCCAAUGUCGAAGAAG